AGGACUCUGCUCAGGAGUGGUAGUUCUCUGUCAAGGGAUGGAGAGUCCGAACUGCAAGCUGGAGACGCUCAGGUUAUCUUUCUGUUGCGUCUCUGAGCGUGGCUGCAUCGCCGUGGCAGCGGCCUUGAUCUCGUGACCUGCCUGCCUGAGGGCGCUUGACCUGAGCUACAGUCACCCCGGAGACGCAGGGAUGCGGGCACUCAGGGCAAGAGAGCAAGACCCCAACUGCCACCUCAUGACCGUCAACUUUGAUCAUGGAGGAAUAUACUGUCUGACAACAGAAUUAAGAAAAUAUGCUUGCAUGCUCUCAUUUAACCCUGAGCUCUCUCUUUCCGAGGUCAAACGAAGCGUGGCGUGUGUUGCGGAGGUCCACCCGUACCCCGACCGGC